AUUGAACGCUGGCGGCAUGCUUUACACAUGCAAGUCGAACGGCAGCGCGGGCUUCGGCCUGGCGGCGAGUGGCGAACGGGUGAGUAAUGCAUCGGAACGUGCCCAGUAGUGGGGGAUAGCCCGGCGAAAGCCGGAUUAAUACCGCAUACGACCUGAGGGUGAAAGCGGGGGACCGAAAGGCCUCGCGCUAUUGGAGCGGCCGAUGUCGGAUUAGCUAGUUGGUGGGGUAAAGGCUUACCAAGGCGACGAUCCGUAGCUGGUCUGAGAGGACGACCAGCCACACUGGGACUGAGACACGGCCCAGACUCCUACGGGAGGCAGCAGUGGGGAAUUUUGGACAAUGGGGGCAACCCUGAUCCAGCCAUGCCGCGUGCGGGAAGAAGGCCUUCGGGUUGUAAACCGCUUUUGUUCUGGAAGAAAUCCUCUGGGCUAAUACCCCGGGGGGAUGACGGUACCGGAAGAAUAAGCACCGGCUAACUACGUG
rnacentral:rRNA from 1 species